GCGCAUGGCUUUCUACUUUCCUUCUGACUUUACCAUGUUUUACUUAUUUUUGUGCUUAAACUUUGCAAUAGCCUCUCUAUUGCAUCAGAAAAUCUAUUAAAUACAUACAUUUUUCUUGUUUGACUUGUGUAAUACAGCUGCCAUGAUUUGUUCAUGAAGUCUCGCGCUCACCUGUUAUCGUCGCGCGUGAUGCGCCAUCCUAAAUUCGCGGCUCCGCUUGAAACAAAUCCCACUGUUGGUCGACGUUUUGUCAAGAAUUAUCACGAACAGGCACAGCCGGGGACCAGGAUGUGGAUUCAGACAUUUCCUGGACUCUCGGCAGCCUGUCCGUGGAGGUGAACAAGUCAAGAUAACUAAUAACCAACAACAGAGGGAAAAAUCUGCAUAGAGACAGAACAGGAAAGGAUGCGCACAAUGAGAGAGAAAUAAACUUUCUGACAAUUUGAAUCCUGAAGCUUAUUGGUUCAUUGGAUCCUGCUGACUCAAACUGGGCACAAGAAUUGCAUGGUAAUCCCCACCACAUGCUCACAGGAAACGCUAAACAUAUUUACAACAAAUGAGUCAAUUCAGGAACAAACACACACUGACAUGUUCCUCUAAACCAAUCAUCUCUAUAAUAUAAGUGGGGUCCAAAAAAUCUGAGACAAAGUUCAUUUAAAAAUAGUUAUGGGAUUAGCAUAAAAUAGUAAGAAUGUUGUAUUGAAGUAAAUUACAUUUAAAUAAACAAUUAAUGAUAUCAGACUUUUGUACCCCAUAUCGAACAUUUCACAUCCAUUGCAUUUUUUGAUGUAGCAUUACAGGUGUUUCUGAGUUCAGUGUAAUACAAAAAAUAUAUAUACAUUGUGCUUUGACAUGCUAUUGAUAACUUACAUACAGCAUUCCAAGAGCUAUGAUUUUCACACUAAUAUUUAUGAUUUUUUAUGCUUGUGUAUUCCUAACAUAUACAGUAUGUUGAACUGAACAAUGAGAGCACUCUGUACCCACUCACAGUAAUAGUACAUUCAGCACAUCUUCUCUUUCUGUACAUUCUGAAUUUUUCAUUUCUGUCCCUCACUUUUCUGCUCCCUUAACAAUAAUCCUUACAAAAUAGGCAGAAGACUUAUAUUCCCAAUAUUUGUUUUCCUGGCUUUGAAGUUUAAAGCAAACAACAACAGAGGAACAGUUUGAAAAAUUGCAGUAAAUGGUUUUUAUAACAACAGCCACACUUUCAUUGGCCAGGCAGUUAGAUUGAGCUCAGUGGAAGUAAAAUGGUAAUGAGAGAGAGAGAGAGAGAGAGAGAGAGAGAGAGAGAGAGAGAGAGAGAUUGAGACAUCUGUGCAGGCAGCACUGGGAACACCGAACCAAUGAGCCAAGGAGUAUCUUUAUCUUCUCUGGCCUUCUUUCUUUUCUUAAUUACAGUCUAUAAGAAGACAGCUUAGAUAUUAAACACAAUGCUUGGCUAUGUGGACACCAGAACACCACAUCCGUAUGUGCUACUUCAACAUUUAAGUUCAAAAUUCAAAAUCCGAUUCAUUCCAAACUUGUUAAUUUGAAGAGGUGUCCACAUUUGUUUUAGACUGGGUAAACCCAGCCUGAUCUGCCGGCGAUUUAAUUUCGCCCGGCAACUCAGUCUGGAAACCCGUACAUUCAUUUCUACUGCUUCUGUUACACUUUUGCGGGAACCAAUCACAGACUGGCUUUAUCCACCUUGCUCACUAUUGGCGGGUAUAACACGAUGGCGAUAGAGAAGCGACUGCAAGCACAACCGUCAAUCCAAUUCCUUUUAACCUCUCGACGAUGCUGAAUGACUUCUUUAGUUAGCAAACAAAUCGCUCGAGUGGGUGUAAAUACCACUCACUUUUAUGUUU